rnacentral:rRNA from 1 species
AUCUUUCUAGAAACACUUUCCAGUAUCUCUACUUUGUUACGACUUAUUCUAAUUUAUUAAUAGAAGUGACGGGCAAUAUGUACAUAUUUUAAUUAAAAAUCAUUUUUUAAAAUUAAUAAAAAAAUUACAUUUAAAUCCAAUUUCAUUUAAAUUUUUCAAUUUAAAAUUCAUUUAAAUAAAUUUAUUGUAAUCCAUUAUAUUCUUAAUUAUAAACUACAUCUUGAUUUGAAUUAAUUUUAUAUUUAAAUUUUUAAAUAUUAUUUUUUUUUAAAAAUAUUUACAACAACGAUAUAUAAAUUUUUAAAUUAAGUAAAUUUAUUCGUGGAUUAUCAAUUAAUAAACAGAUUCCUCUAAAUUUAAUAAAAUACCGCCAAUUUACUUAAGUUUUUAUAAAUAAUUAUAUAAUAUUUUAGUAUUUUAAUUAUUAAUUUUUAAUAAUAGGGUAUCUAAUCCUAGUUUUUAUUUAAAAUUUUUUAAUACAUUAAAUUUAAAUAUAAAUUUUUUUUAAUUAAAAUUUUACUUAAUAAUUUUUAAUUUAAUUUAUUUAAUUAAUUAAAUUAAUUAUAACUAAUAAAAAUUUAUUCAUUUUCUGUUUAACCGCAACUGCUGGCACAAAAUUAGUUAAUGAUUUUUAUAUUACUAAAUCUUAAUUUCUUAAAUUUUUAAUAUUAAUUACUAUUAAAAAAAUUUUUUAAAUUAGAAUUACACUAAAAUUUAUUUAUAAUAUAAAUUAUAUAAAAUUUUAUUUUAACUAUAAAAAUUUUUUUUUU